CGGCCGCGUCGACAGGUAGAGAAUACUAAGGGGCGCGAGAUAACUCUCUCUAAGGAACUCGGCAAAAUGGCCCCGUAACUUCGGGAGAAGGGGUGCCCCCUGAUGGAGGGGGGUCGGCAGUGAAGAGGCCCAGGCGACUGUUUAUCAAAACAACAGGUCUCCGCAAAGUACGCAAGACGCGGUAUGGGGGCGUGACGCCUGCCCAGUGCCGGAGGGUUAAGGAAGUCGGUCAGGGGGUAACCCUAAAGCUGGCGACCGAAGCCCCGGUGAACGGCCAUAUCAAUGCCAACGAGUGCCACUACUGCCUCGAUUGCCAGAUGACCUACCACAACGAGCACAAGUGCCCGUC
rnacentral:sRNA from 1 species